rnacentral:rRNA from 1 species
GCUUAAUUUAAACAAAUAUAAAAAAUUUACUAAAAUUCGGUUGGGGCGACCGAGGAAAUGAUUAUCAUCCUCAGAUAAAAGAUAAAUAAAUCUAACUAAUGACCCUUAACUAAGAUCACUAAAACAAGC